AUGGUUCUCCUUGACCUCCUGCAGCGAACUCCCUCACCUGGUCCUCCCCCCCUUACCCUCUUCCAGAACCCUCAGCUUCUCCCCCAUCCUCCCUCUCACGGCGCCCUCAGCUUAUUCUCCUGCCCCUCUGGGGGGGGGGGUCCCCUUGGUCCCUCACCCCUGACUCAGCCCCCUUCCCAAUUUCUAUCAAUUCCCCUCGACAGGUUCCCUCCGCUUUCCCUACCAGACCUUUCUAGGGGGCCGGUCCCUUUACUCUGCUUCAUCGUAUUCCUCCGGCCCCCUCCCCAGGGAUUGUCAGUCCCCUUCUCCAGGUGUCCUCCGGGGGUCCUUUCCGGGGCGAGGUCCCUGCUCCUCCAGCUCCGCCCUCCGCCCCCCUGCAGUCCCCGCGGGGCGCCGCGCGGCGCGUCCGGCUGCACCUGCCGGCCGCCUACCUGGUCCCCGGGGGUGGGGGGGCGCCGCCGCCGACCGGCCCCAGGCGAGCGGGCCGGGCUCCCGGCAGCCGCGAGAGCCGACGUCGUGGGGGGCGGGGGGCCCCUGGGGCGCUGCUCGCCUCAGCCCGCCGCCUGCGCUGGGCCGGGAGGAGGAAGCCGCCUCGGACUUCUCUUAUUGAAGGGGGCGGCGGCGGCGGCGGGGAGAAUUCACAGUCACGCCCCAGCCCCAGGCCGGCUGCCCCAGGCGGGGAGGGGCCCUCGGGAUCGCAGGCCCGCCCGCUCCCACUGCCAGCCUCCCCCGGUGCCUCCCCCCUCGCAGCCCUGAACGUCUCUGCCUGCACCCCAACUCCUCCCCCCCGAUCUGAACCCCCAGGGCAGCCUUCCCAAAGGUCCCCUCCGACGGGGCAGGUUCCUCAAUCCCAGAAGCACCUGCUGUUUUAGAUCGAUUGGAUUUCAGGUUAAGAAGCAGCUUUUCUCUAGCCCUGAAGCCCACCCCCACCCCUUUUUGCAGCUGGAAAAACUGUGCUCCAGAUGCGGGCAAGCCUUACCCAAGUUCUCCACAGCCCGUUGGCUUCAGAUUGCUGUCACCAGAGCCACUGAAGAUCCCUGGUCUCCCUCAGGAGCUGGACAAGUCGGGGGUACAGGGAUGUAGGACAGUGGGGAGCAGCGGGGGACUUUUCUCUCAGGAGACUGCUUUUGAGAGGAAUCAGCCCUCAGGCCACACUGAGGAAGGAGAAGCUGUCAGCCUCCCCCCCUACACCCAAGAUUUAGAGAAACUGAGCAUCAUCCUUUAACAUGGUUCCCCUAGCCUAUGGGACUAGGAAGGAUCCCUGAUCCACACCCACCCCCCCACCCCCCAACCUGGAGUUCAAUCCUACCUCCCACCACUGUUACUUCAGCUUUUAACCAAGGACUAGGAAAAUCCCUCCUCCUCCGGGGAGGAGGAGAUGUGUGUGUGUGGGAGGGCUGUUUGGUGGAGAAGUAUGUUUAUUGGCAUAUGAUGGGAAAGGAGAGAGGGUGUGUGAGCACAGAUGUGUGUGUGUGUGAGUGAUUGUAGGCAAUGAAAUUGAUGACUGCAAUUUUGUAAUCAACAACUGGGACACGUUUUACAGACACAUGUGUUUUCUAUGUCUGAGCAGGGAUGUGUGUGAAUGUCCGUGUGUGUGUGUGCACUCGUGUGCACGCCUGCUCAGGUAUGUCCCAAUGUGAUUGUGAAAUGUAGGUAAGAAUGCGUUUCUCUCAGGAAAACAGAAGGAGGGAUUUGUGAAGAAGACACAGGGGACGAGGUAGAGGCACAGGAGCUUAGGAAUGGUGGUCUCAGGUUA
rnacentral:lncRNA from 12 species